GACGAACGCUGGCGGCGUGCUUAACACAUGCAAGUCGAGCGACGCUCUUCCUUCGGGGAGAUGACGGAGCGGCGAACGGGUGAGUAACACGUGGGCAACCUGCCCCUAGCUCUGGGACAACACCGGGAAACCGGUGCUAAUACCGGAUACGACAUCGAGCGGCAUCUCUCGAUGUGGAAAGUUUUUUCGGCUAGGGAUGGGCCCGCGGCCUAUCAGCUUGUUGGUGGGGUAAUGGCCCACCAAGGCGACGACGGGUAGCCGGCCCGAGAGGGCGACCGGCCACACUGGGACUGAGACACGGCCCAGACUCCUACGGGAGGCAGCAGUGGGGAAUAUUGCGCAAUGGGCGAAAGCCUGGCGCAGCGACGCCGCGUGAGGGAUGACGGCCUUCGGGUUGUAAACCUCUUUCAGCAGGGACGAAUUCAGACGGUACCUGCAGAAGAAGCACCGGCCAACUACGUG
rnacentral:rRNA from 1 species